GUUCCUCGCACGCUCUGAGGCGUGAGUGCAGCAGUUGAAAAGAGGAGGAAGAGCAGUCGCCGCAGCUGCACUGCCCUGAGCUGCUGUUAUUUGCAGGAUCUGAACAGUUUCACCACAGAAGACCUGACUUAAGCUGGCGCAGAUCUGGGUCUAAGAGAGGAGUGCACUGUAGGAGUGCAAGCCCCCAUUCCUUGGCCUGCAUGAGACAGGGUAUGGCUGUUAGCCCAAGCUGGCUUGGAGCUCACUAUAUAGUACAGGAAGCUUUGAAUUCGUCCUAGUCUUCCUGACUCAUCUUCUAAAUACUGGGACUAUGUGCGUGAGCCACCGUGCCCAUGAGCCACCGUGCCCGUGAGCCACCGUGCCCGUGAGCCACCGUGCCCGUGAGCCACCGUGCCCGUGAGCCACCGUGCCCGUGAGCCACCGUGCCCGUGAGCCACCGUGCCCGUGAGCCACCAAGCCCAUGGACCACCAAGCCCAUGAGCCACCGUGCCCAUGAGCCACCAAGCCCAUGAGCUACCAAGCCCAUGAGCCACCAAGCCCAUGGACCACCAAGCCCAUGGACCACCAAGCCCAUGGACCACCGUGCCCGUGAGCCACCGUGCCCGUGAGCCACCGUGCCCGUGAGCCACCGUGCCCGUGAGCCACCAAGCCCAUGGACCACCAAGCCCAUGAGCCACCGUGCCCAUGAGCCACCAAGCCCAUGAGCCACCAAGCCCAUGGACCACCAAGCCCAUGGACCACCAAGCCCAUGGACCACCAAGCCCAUGGACCACCAAGCCCAUGGACCACCGUGCCCGUGAGCCACCGUGCCCGUGAGCCACCGUGCCCGUGAGCCACCGUGCCCGUGAGCCACCGUGCCCGUGAGCCACCAAGCCCAUGGACCACCAAGCCCAUGAGCCACCAAGCCCAUGGACCACCAAGCCCAUGGACCACCAAGCCCAUGAGCCACCAAGCCCAUGGACCACCAAGCCCAUGGACCACCAAGCCCAUGGACCACCAAGCCCAUGGACCACCAAGCCCAUGAGCCACCGUGCCCAUGAGCCACCAAGCCCAUGGACCACCAAGCCCAUGAACCACCGUGCCCAUGAGCCACCGUGCCCAUGAGCCACCGUGCCCAUGAGCCACCAAGCCCAUGAGCCACCGUGCCCAUGAGCCACCGUGCCCAUGAGCCACCGUGCCCAUGAGCCACCAAGCCCAUGGACCACCAAGCCCAUGAACCACCGUGCCCAUGAGCCACCAAGCCCAUGGACCACCAAGCCCAUGAGCCACCGUGCCCAUGAGCCACCGUGCCCAUGAGCCACCGUGCCCAUGAGCCACCGUGCCCAUGAGCCACCAAGCCCAUGGACCACCAAGCCCAUGAGCCACCGUGCCCAUGAGCCACCAAGCCCAUGGACCACCAAGCCCAUGAACCACCGUGCCCAUGAGCCACCGUGCCCAUGAGCCACCAAGCCCAUGAGCCACCGUGCCCAUGAGCCACCGUGCCCAUGAGCCACUGUGCCCAUGAGCCACCAAGCCCAUGGACCACCAAGCCCAUGAACCACCGUGCCCAUGAGCCACCGUGCCCAUGAGCCACCGUGCCCAUGAGCCACCAAGCCCAUGAGCCACCGUGCCCAUGAGCCACCGUGCCCAUGAGCCACCGUGCCCAUGAGCCACCAAGCCCAUGGACCACCAAGCCCAUGAACCACCGUGCCCAUGAGCCACCAAGCCCAUGGACCACCAAGCCCAUGAGCCACCGUGCCCAUGAGCCACCGUGCCCAUGAGCCACCGUGCCCAUGAGCCACCAAGCCCAUGGACCACCAAGCCCAUGAGCCACCGUGCCCAUGAGCCACCAAGCCCAUGGACCACCAAGCCCAUGAACCACCGUGCCCAUGAGCCACCGUGCCCAUGAGCCACCAAGCCCAUGAGCCACCGUGCCCAUGAGCCACCGUGCCCAUGAGCCACCGUGCCCAUGAGCCACCAAGCCCAUGGACCACCAAGCCCAUGAACCACCGUGCCCAUGAGCCACCAAGCCCAUGGACCACCAAGCCCAUGAGCCACCGUGCCCAUGAACCACCGUGCCCAUGAACCACCGUGCCCAUGAGCCACCAAGCCCAUGGACCACCAAGCCCAUGAGCCACCGUGCCCAUGAGCCACCAAGCCCAUGAGCCACCAAGCCCAUGGACCACCAAGCCCAUGAGCCACCGUGCCCAUGAGCCACCGUGCCCAUGAGCCACAGUGCCCAUGAGCCACCAUGCCCAUGAGCCACCGUGCCCAUGAGCCACCAAGCCCAUGGACCACCAAGCCCAUGAGCCACCGUGCCCAUGAGCCACCAAGCCCAUGGACCACCAAGCCCAUGAGCCACCAAGCCCAUGGACCACCAAGCCCAUGGACCACCAAGCCCAUGAGCCACCGUGCCCAUGAGCCACCGUGCCCAUGAGCCACCAAGCCCAUGAGCCACCAAGCCCAUGAGCCACCGUGCCCAUGAGCCACCAAGCCCAUGAGCCACCAAGCCCAUGAGCCACCAAGCCCAUGAGCCACCGUGCCCAUGAGCCACUGUGCCCAUGAGCCACCGUGCCCAUGAGCCACAAAGCCCAUGAGCCACCAAGCCCAUGGAUCACCAAGCCCAUGAGCCACCAAGCCCAUGAGCCACCAAGCCCAUGGACCACCAAGCCCAUGAGCCACCGUGCCCAUGAGCCACAAAGCCCAUGGACCACCAAGCCCAUGGACCACCAAGCCCAUGGACCACCAAGCCCAUGGACCACCAAGCCCAUGGACCACCAAGCCCAUGGACCACCAUGUUCAGCCCAGGUUUCUUCCUUGUAACAAAAUACUUCUGAGAUUUGUCCAUAAUCUUCAUCAUAUAUUCCUUUAUAUUUUUAUCAUAUUUUAUUUAUUUGUUUAUUCACACAAAUGCAUAUGGGGUAUGUGUGUGUUUUUGCACAUGCACAUGCACAUAACUAUGGUCAGUAAAACUUUUAGCUUUCUAGAGUUGUUCUCCCUCUCUGUGUUCUAGGUGUCAAGCUCAGGUUGUAAGAUUUGGCAGCUGGGACCUUUAUCUGCUGAGUCAUCUCACUGGCCCUAAAUACCUUUUUAUUGCUGAAUAGUCUUCCAUUGGGUGAAAAUGCCAUGACUUGCCAUCCAUUCUUUUGUUGAUUCUUCUUUGUUUCCAAUUUGGGGAAUGCCUUCAAGUAUGUUUGUAUAUCCAGGAGCUUAGACAAUGAAGAUGGUGCCCCCAUUCAUUUGCAUUCAGAGUUAAUAAAGAUGGCAUCUUCCCUCAGUC